rnacentral:rRNA from 1 species
AUUGAACGCUGGCGGCAGGCUUAACACAUGCAAGUCGAGCGGGGUGAUGGUGCUUGCACUAUCACUUAGCGGCGGACGGGUGAGUAAUGCUUAGGAAUCUGCCUAUUAGUGGGGGACAACAUCUCGAAAGGGAUGCUAAUACCGCAUACGUCCUACGAGAGAAAGCAGGGGAUCCCUUGUGACCUUGCGCUAAUAGAUGAGCCUAAGUCGGAUUAGCUAGUUGGUGGGGUAAAGGACUACCAAGGCGACGAUCUGUAGCGGGUCUGAGAGGAUGAUCCGCCACACUGGGACUGAGACACGGCCCAGACUCCUACGGGAGGCAGCAGUGGGGAAUAUUGGACAAUGGGGGGAACCCUGAUCCAGCCAUGCCGCGUGUGUGAAGAAGGCCUUAUGGUUGUAAAGCACUUUAAGCGAGGAGGAGGCUCUUUUGGUUAAUACCCAAGAUGAGUGGACGUUACUUGCAGAAUAAGCACCGGCUAACUCUGUGCCAGCCGCCGCGGUAA